rnacentral:rRNA from 1 species
GACGAACGCUGGCGGCGGGCUUAACACAUGCAAGUCGAACGAACGCCUUCGGGCGUUAGUGGCGCACGGGUGAGUAACACGUAGGCAAUCUACCCUCGGCUGGGGAAUAACCAGGGGAAACCCUGGCUAAUACCGCAUAACAUCUGGACGUCGCCUGGCGACCAGAUCAAAGCUUUAUGUGGCCGAGGAUGAGCCUGCGUCGGAUUAGCUAGUUGGUGGGGUAACGGCCUACCAAGGCGACGAUCCGUAGCGGGGUCUGAGAGGAUGAUCCGCCACACUGGCACUGAGACACGGGCCAGACUCCUACGGGAGGCAGCAGUGAGGAAUAUUGCGCAAUGGACGAAAGUCUGACGCAGCCACGCCGCGUGCAGGAAGACACCCCUCU